rnacentral:rRNA from 1 species
UACGUAGGGGGGCAAGCGUUGUCCGGAAUCAUUGGGCGUAAAGCGCGUGUAGGCGGUUCGGUAAGUCCGCUGUGAAAGUCGGGGGCUCAACCCUCGGAUGCCGGUGGAUACUGUCGAGCUUGAGUACGGAAGAGGCGAGUGGAAUUCCUGGUGUAGCGGUGAAAUGCGCAGAUAUCAGGAGGAACACCAAUUGCGAAGGCAGCUCGCUGGGACGUUACUGACGCUGAGACGCGAAAGCGUGGGGAGCAAACAGG